GGAUGUGAGAGUGAUCUGGCUGUGACACCUGUCACCUCACUGCCAGGGUUGAUUUGAUCAAGCUGGCUUAGUAGGUGUCUUCUUCCUCUCUCACCAUUCCAUGUGCAUCUCCCAAAGCUGUGCCCUUCCCCAGUAGGGAAGGACCAGGACCAUUCUUAACUACACUCUCCUGCUAGAACCUCUAAGCAAGCUCUCAAAGAUGUAAGUUGGAGAUAUAGCUUAGUGGUAAAGCACUUGCCUUUCAUGCACCUAAGACUCUAGGU
rnacentral:snRNA from 1 species